rnacentral:rRNA from 1 species
AGCGUACACGGUGGAUGCCCUGGCAGUCAGAGGCGAUGAAGGACGUGCUAAUCUGCGAUAAGCGUCGGUAAGGUGAUAUGAACCGUUAUAACCGGCGAUUUCCGAAUGGGGAAACCCAGUGUGAUUCGUCACACUAUCAUUAACUGAAUCCAUAGGUUAAUGAGGCGAACCGGGGGAACUGAAACAUCUAAGUACCCCGAGGAAAAGAAAUCAACCGAGAUUCCCCCAGUAGCGGCGAGCGAACGGGGAGCAGCCCAGAGCCUGAAUCAGUGUGUGUGUUAGUGGAAGCGUCUGGAAAGGCGCGCGAUACAGGGUGACAGCCCCGUACACAAAAAUGCACAUGCUGUGAGCUCGAUGAGUAGGGCGGGACACGUGGUAUCCUGUCUGAAUAUGGGGGGACCAUCCUCCAAGGCUAAAUACUCCUGACUGACCGAUAGUGAACCAGUACCGUGAGGGAAAGGCGAAAAGAACCCCGGCGAGGGGAGUGAAAAAGAACCUGAAACCGUGUACGUACAAGCAGUGGGAGCACAGAGCAAUCUGUGUGACUGCGUACCUUUUGUAUAAUGGGUCAGCGACUUAUAUUCUGUAGCAAGGUUAACCGAAUAGGGGAGCCGAAGGGAAACCGAGUCUUAACUGGGCGUUAAGUUGCAGGGUAUAGACCCGAAACCCGGUGAUCUAGCCAUGGGCAGGUUGAAGGUUGGGUAACACUAACUGGAGGACCGAACCGACUAAUGUUGAAAAAUUAGCGGAUGACUUGUGGCUGGGGGUGAAAGGCCAAUCAAACCGGGAGAUAGCUGGUUCUCCCCGAAAGCUAUUUAGGUAGCGCCUCGUGAAUUCAUCUCCGGGGGUAGAGCACUGUUUCGGCAAGGGGGUCAUCCCGACUUACCAACCCGAUGCAAACUGCGAAUACCGGAGAAUGUUAUCACGGGAGACACACGGCGGGUGCUAACGUCCGUCGUGAAGAGGGAAACAACCCAGACCGCCAGCUAAGGUCCCAAAGUCAUGGUUAAGUGGGAAACGAUGUGGGAAGGCCCAGACAGCCAGGAUGUUGGCUUAGAAGCAGCCAUCAUUUAAAGAAAGCGUAAUAGCUCACUGGUCGAGUCGGCCUGCGCGGAAGAUGUAACGGGGCUAAACCAUGCACCGAAGCUGCGGCAGCGACGCUUAUGCGUUGUUGGGUAGGGGAGCGUUCUGUAAGCCUGUGAAGGUGUACUGUGAGGUAUGCUGGAGGUAUCAGAAGUGCGAAUGCUGACAUAAGUAACGAUAAAGCGGGUGAAAAGCCCGCUCGCCGGAAGACCAAGGGUUCCUGUCCAACGUUAAUCGGGGCAGGGUGAGUCGACCCCUAAGGCGAGGCCGAAAGGCGUAGUCGAUGGGAAACAGGUUAAUAUUCCUGUACUUGGUGUUACUGCGAAGGGGGGACGGAGAAGGCUAUGUUGGCCGGGCGACGGUUGUCCCGGUUUAAGCGUGUAGGCUGGUUUUCCAGGCAAAUCCGGAAAAUCAAGGCUGAGGCGUGAUGACGAGGCACUACGGUGCUGAAGCAACAAAUGCCCUGCUUCCAGGAAAAGCCUCUAAGCAUCAGGUAACAUCAAAUCGUACCCCAAACCGACACAGGUGGUCAGGUAGAGAAUACCAAGGCGCUUGAGAGAACUCGGGUGAAGGAACUAGGCAAAAUGGUGCCGUAACUUCGGGAGAAGGCACGCUGAUAUGUAGGUGAAGUCCCUCGCGGAUGGAGCUGAAAUCAGUCGAAGAUACCAGCUGGCUGCAACUGUUUAUUAAAAACACAGCACUGUGCAAACACGAAAGUGGACGUAUACGGUGUGACGCCUGCCCGGUGCCGGAAGGUUAAUUGAUGGGGUCAGCGCAAGCGAAGCUCUUGAUCGAAGCCCCGGUAAACGGCGGCCGUAACUAUAACGGUCCUAAGGUAGCGAAAUUCCUUGUCGGGUAAGUUCCGACCUGCACGAAUGGCGUAAUGAUGGCCAGGCUGUCUCCACCCGAGACUCAGUGAAAUUGAACUCGCUGUGAAGAUGCAGUGUACCCGCGGCAAGACGGAAAGACCCCGUGAACCUUUACUAUAGCUUGACACUGAACAUUGAGCCUUGAUGUGUAGGAUAGGUGGGAGGCUUUGAAGUGUGGACGCCAGUCUGCAUGGAGCCGACCUUGAAAUACCACCCUUUAAUGUUUGAUGUUCUAACGUGGACCCGUAAUCCGGGUUGCGGACAGUGUCUGGUGGGUAGUUUGACUGGGGCGGUCUCCUCCUAAAGAGUAACGGAGGAGCACGAAGGUUGGCUAAUCCUGGUCGGACAUCAGGAGGUUAGUGCAAUGGCAUAAGCCAGCUUGACUGCGAGCGUGACGGCGCGAGCAGGUGCGAAAGCAGGUCAUAGUGAUCCGGUGGUUCUGAAUGGAAGGGCCAUCGCUCAACGGAUAAAAGGUACUCCGGGGAUAACAGGCUGAUACCGCCCAAGAGUUCAUAUCGACGGCGGUGUUUGGCACCUCGAUGUCGGCUCAUCACAUCCUGGGGCUGAAGUAGGUCCCAAGGGUAUGGCUGUUCGCCAUUUAAAGUGGUACGCGAGCUGGGUUUAGAACGUCGUGAGACAGUUCGGUCCCUAUCUGCCGUGGGCGCUGGAGAACUGAGGGGGGCUGCUCCUAGUACGAGAGGACCGGAGUGGACGCAUCACUGGUGUUCGGGUUGUCAUGCCAAUGGCACUGCCCGGUAGCUAAAUGCGGAAGAGAUAAGUGCUGAAAGCAUCUAAGCACGAAACUUGCCCCGAGAUGAGUUCUCCCUGACUCCUUGA